rnacentral:rRNA from 1 species
AGUGAACGCUGGCGGCGUGCCUAAUACAUGCAAGUCGAACGGAGUGGCGCACGGGUGAGUAAUGUAUAGCUAAUCUUCCCUACACUAGAGGACAACAGUUGGAAACACCUGAUAAUACUCACUAGUGUAGGAUGAGGGUAUAUUGGAGCAGCUAGUUGGUGAGGUAAUGGCUCACCAAGGCUAUGACGAAUAACUUGUCUGAGAUGAUGAUCAGUCACACUGGAACAGAGACACCGUGCAGUGUCCUACGGGAGGCAGCAGUAGGGAAUAUUGCUCAAUGGGGGGAACCCUGAAGCAGCAGCGCCGCGUGUAGGAUGACACUUUUGGGAGCAGGAAAUCAUUUUGUUAGGGAAGCGGUACCUAACGAAUAAGCACCGGCUAACUCCGUGCCAGCAGCCGCGGUAAUAC